rnacentral:rRNA from 1 species
AAUAGAUACCCCGGUAGUCCACGCCGUAAACGGUGGGUACUAGGUGUGGGUUUCCUUCCUUGGGAUCCGUGCCGUAGCUAACGCAUUAAGUACCCCGCCUGGGGAGUACGGCCGCAAGGCUAAAACUCAAAGGAAUUGACGGGGGGCCCGCACAAGCGGCGGAGCAUGUGGAUUAAUUCGAUGCAACGCGAAGAACCUUACCUGGGUUUGACAUGCACAGGACGCUGGUAGAGAUAUCAGUUCCCUUGUGGUCUGUGUGCAGGUGGUGCAUGGCUGUCGUCAGCUCGUGUCGUGAGAUGUUGGGUUAAGUCCCGCAACGAGCGCAACCCUUGUCUCAUGUUGCCAGCGGGUUAUGCCGGGGGACUCGUGAGAGACUGCCGGGGUCAACUCGGAGGAAGGUGGGGAUGACGUCAAGUCAUCAUGCCCCUUAUGUCCAGGGCUUCACACAUGCUACAAUGGCCGGUACAAAGGGCUGCGAUGCCGUGAGGUUAAGCGAAUCCUUUAAAGCCGGUCUCAGUUCGGAUCGGGUCUGCAACUCCG